GCUACCAUGCAGUCGAGCGGCAGCGGGAAAGUAGCUUGCUACUUUUGCCGGCGAGCGGCGGACGGGUGGAGUAAUGCCUGGGGCAUCUGCCCAGUCGAGGGGGAUAACAGUUGGAAACGACUGCUAAUACCGCAUACGCCCUACGGGGGAAAGCAGGGGACCUUCGGGCCUUGCGCGAUUGGAUGAACCCAGGUGGGAUUAGCUAGUUGGUGAGGUAAUGGCUCACCAAGGCGACGAUCCCUAGCUGGUCUGAGAGGAUGAUCACCCACACUGGAACUGAGACACGGUCCAGACUCCUACGGGAGGCAGCAGUGGGGAAUAUUGCACAAUGGGGGAAACCCUGAUGCAGCCAUGCCGCGUGUGUGAAGAAGGCCUUCGGGUUGUAAAGCACUUUCAGCGAGGAGGAAAGGUUGGUAGCGAAUAACUGCCAGCUGUGACGUUACUCGCACAAAAGCACCGGCUAACUCCGUGCCAGCAGCCGCGGUAAUAC
rnacentral:rRNA from 1 species